AUGCUGUUUGGGCUAUUUGUCGGAGUCAACAACCACUACCAGAGUAUUAUCUUUGCCGGGGUGUUGAUGCGUGACAAGCAGGAAGAGAUCUUUGAAUGGGUGUUCGAGGAAUUUGUACGUAUGAUGGGUGAACCCCCGCCAAAAACAAUACUUAUAGGUGAGAACCAGUGCAGGGCCAUGGAGGUUGCAAUCAAGAAGACAUAUCCUGACACGGUGCACCGUUGGUGCAAAUGGCACGUUCUGAAGAAAGCAAAGGAGACACUAGGGCCCUUGUACACGAAGAAGAGCGAUUUUCCACAAAGUUGUUAA
rnacentral:rRNA from 1 species